rnacentral:rRNA from 1 species
CAAUAGCGUAUAUUAAAGUUGUUGCGGUUAAAAAGCUCGUAGUUGGAUUUCUGCUUUGGACGACCGGUCCGCCCUGUGGGUUGGCAUCUGGAUCGGCCUGGGCAUCUUCUUGGGGAGCGUAGCUGCACUUGACUGUGUGGUGCGGUAUCCAGGACUUUUACCUUGAGGAAAUUAGAGUGUUUCAAGCAGGCGCACGCCUUGAAUACAUUAGCAUGGAAUAAUAAGAUAGGACCUCGGUUCUAUUUUGUCGGUUUCUAGAGCUGAGGUAAUGAUUAAUAGGGAUAGUUGGGGGCGUUCGUAUUUAACUGUCAGAGGUGAAAUUCUUGGAUUCGUUAAAGACGGACUACUGCGAAAGCAUUUGCCAAGGAUGUUUUCAUUGA